AGUUUGAUCCUGGCUCAGGAUGAACGCUAGCUACAGGCUUAACACAUGCAAGUCGAGGGGCAGCAUGGUCUUAGCUUGCUAAGGCCGAUGGCGACCGGCGCACGGGUGAGUAACACGUAUCCAACCUGCCGUCUACUCUUGGACAGCCUUCUGAAAGGAAGAUUAAUACAAGAUGGCAUCAUGAGUCCGCAUGUUCACAUGAUUAAAGGUAUUCCGGUAGACGAUGGGGAUGCGUUCCAUUAGAUAGUAGGCGGGGUAACGGCCCACCUAGUCUUCGAUGGAUAGGGGUUCUGAGAGGAAGGUCCCCCACAUUGGAACUGAGACACGGUCCAAACUCCUACGGGAGGCAGCAGUGAGGAAUAUUGGUCAAUGGGCGAGAGCCUGAACCAGCCAAGUAGCGUGAAGGAUGACUGCCCUAUGGGUUGUAAACUUCUUUUAUAAAGGAAUAAAGUCGGGUAUGGAUACCCGUUUGCAUGUACUUUAUGAAUAAGGAUCGGCUAACUCCGUGCCAGCAGCCGCGGUAAUACGGAGGAUCCGAGCGUUAUCCGGAUUUAUUGGGUUUAAAGGGAGCGUAGAUGGAUGUUUAAGUCAGUUGUGAAAGUUUGCGGCUCAACCGUAAAAUUGCAGUUGAUACUGGAUAUCUUGAGUGCAGUUGAGGCAGGCGGAAUUCGUGGUGUAGCGGUGAAAUGCUUAGAUAUCACGAAGAACUCCGAUUGCGAAGGCAGCCUGCUAAGCUGCAACUGACAUUGAGGCUCGAAAGUGUGGGUAUCAAACAGGAUUAGAUACCCUGGUAGUCCACACGGUAAACGAUGAAUACUCGCUGUUUGCGAUAUACAGCGAGCGGCCAAGCGAAAGCGUUAAGUAUUCCACCUGGGGAGUACGCCGG
rnacentral:rRNA from 1 species